GUCCAAAAAAAGGAAAGGAAUGUGCUCACUGGGGCCCACCAUGUCUAUCUGAAGCUUGCUGAUUACCCAGAGGGCUCUCCCUCUGUGCUGGAACUUGCUUCCUUAUCUAUGUUUGCAGCCAGAUCAUUGAAGCUGCUCUUUGUUAGAAAGGGAAUUCUGCUGAGGACUCUUUGCCCUAUCUGCCUAGCUGGUUUCUUCCUUUCUGCUCUCUCAGUAUGAAGAUGGAGUCUCUGUUGCCCAGGCUGGAGUGCAAUGGCAUGAUCUCAUCUCAUUGCAACUUUCUCCUCCUGAGUUCAAGCAAUUCUUCAGCCUCAGCCUUCUGAGAAGCUAGGAUUACAGGUGCCUGCCACCGUGCCCAACUAAUUUUUGCAUUUUUAGUAGAGACAGGCUUUCCCAAUGUUAGCCAGGCUGGUCUUGAACUCCCAACCUCAGGCGAUCUACUCUCCUUGGCCUCCCAAGUGCUGGGAUUACAGGGUUCUGUAAUAAAAUAUCAUAAACCGGAUGGCUUACAAACAAAAAUUAUUUCUCACAGUUCUAUAGGCCAGAAAGUUUAA
rnacentral:lncRNA from 13 species